UACGUAGGGAGCAAGCGUUGUUCGGAUUUACUGGGCGUAAAGGGCGCGUAGGCGGCGCGGUAAGUCACUUGUGAAAUCUCUGGGCUUAACCCAGAACGGCCAAGUGAUACUGUCGAGCUAGAGUGCAGAAGGGGCAAUCGGAAUUCUUGGUGUAGCGGUGAAAUGCGUAGAUAUCAAGAGGAACACCUGAGGUGAAGACGGGUUGCUGGGCUGACACUGACGCUGAGGCGCGAAAGCCAGGGGAGCAAACGGG
rnacentral:rRNA from 1 species